rnacentral:rRNA from 1 species
ACAUGCAAGUAGAACGCUGAAGAGAGGAGCUUGCUCUUCUUGGAUGAGUUGCGAACGGGUGAGUAACGCGUAGGUAACCUGCCUUGUAGCGGGGGAUAACUAUUGGAAACGAUAGCUAAUACCGCAUAACAAUGGAUGACACAUGUCAUUUAUUUGAAAGGGGCAAUUGCUCCACUACAAGAUGGACCUGCGUUGUAUUAGCUAGUAGGUGAGGUAAUGGCUCACCUAGGCGACGAUACAUAGCCGACCUGAGAGGGUGAUCGGCCACACUGGGACUGAGACACGGCCCAGACUCCUACGGGAGGCAGCAGUAGGGAAUCUUCGGCAAUGGGGGCAACCCUGACCGAGCAACGCCGCGUGAGUGAAGAAGGUUUUCGGAUCGUAAAGCUCUGUUGUAAGUCAAGAACGGGUGUGAGAGUGGAAAGUUCACACUGUGACGGUAGCUUACCAGAAAGGGACGGCUAACUACGUGCCAGCAGCCGCGGUAAUACGUAGGUCCCGAGCGUUGUCCGGAUUUAUUGGGCGUAAAGCGAGCGCAGGCGGUUUGAUAAGUCUGAAGUUAAAGGCUGUGGCUCAACCAUAGUUCGCUUUGGAAACUGUCAAACUUGAGUGCAGAAGGGGAGAGUGGAAUUCCAUGUGUAGCGGUGAAAUGCGUAGAUAUAUGGAGGAACACCGGUGGCGAAAGCGGCUCUCUGGUCUGUAACUGACGCUGAGGCUCGAAAGCGUGGGGAGCGAACAGGAUUAGAUACCCUGGUAGUCCACGCCGUAAACGAUGAGUGCUAGGUGUUGGAUCCUUUCCGGGAUUCAGUGCCGCAGCUAACGCAUUAAGCACUCCGCCUGGGGAGUACGACCGCAAGGUUGAAACUCAAAGGAAUUGACGGGGGCCCGCACAAGCGGUGGAGCAUGUGGUUUAAUUCGAAGCAACGCGAAGAACCUUACCAGGUCUUGACAUCCCGAUGCUAUUUCUAGAGAUAGAAAGUUACUUCGGUACAUCGGUGACAGGUGGUGCAUGGUUGUCGUCAGCUCGUGUCGUGAGAUGUUGGGUUAAGUCCCGCAACGAGCGCAACCCCUAUUGUUAGUUGCCAUCAUUCAGUUGGGCACUCUAGCGAGACUGCCGGUAAUAAACCGGAGGAAGGUGGGGAUGACGUCAAAUCAUCAUGCCCCUUAUGACCUGGGCUACACACGUGCUACAAUGGUUGGUACAACGAGUUGCGAGUCGGUGACGGCGAGCUAAUCUCUUAAAGCCAAUCUCAGUUCGGAUUGUAGGCUGCAACUCGCCUACAUGAAGUCGGAAUCGCUAGUAAUCGCGGAUCAGCACGCCGCGGUGAAUACGUUCCCGGGCCUUGUACACACCGCCCGUCACACCACGAGAGUUUGUAACACCCGAAGUCGGUGAGGUAACCUUUUGGAGCCAGCCGC